ACACCUGUUCCCAUGCCGAACACAGAAGUU
rnacentral:rRNA from 2 species